UUAUUUCAUUUAAUUCUCAUAACAACCCUGUAGGCAGGUAUUAUUACUGUUUCAAUUUUACAGUUUGGGAACUGAGGUUUUGGAGAGACUAAAUUGCUUACCACAGGAUGCAAGGCUAAGUGUGAGAGCUAUAAUGCAAAUUUAGAGCCCCAAUUCUAUAAUUCUGGCCACACCACUGAACAUCCUCAAGUAAAUCAAUAAGUAAAUAAAGUAAAAAUUCCUCUUUGGAAAGCAAGGAGUCAAUCUCACUACCUCAUGGUCACACCUGUUACACAUCUUAUGCUUAUAAUCAAAUGUAACCUUUGGUUCAUUUAAACAAUUGAAUGUAUAUUUUUGUAAUACACAGCCCCUCUCAGUACCUGCAACACCAGGAUAAGGAAAGUGUAUACACGGUUGGCGGAAGCAGAGUGGAUAAAAGAAGAGUGGCCGCAAAAAAGAUAACCGAGGCUGGUGAGCUGAUACCACAGGACUCAAGUGAGACCACAUUGCCUCUCUCUGCCUUUUAUUUUCAUUUUGGCCUCUGCAUUUAAUACUGGAAGAUUUUGUAGAGUACCUAAUGAUCCUAGACUGUUUGCUUCUAUUUCAGACUGAGACACUAAAAAGCUGAUUUGAUGGUUGGAUGGUCUGUGUAUGAGGUGAGGUAUGAUGACUCUUGGCCUUCCUGUAGGGUGAUUAUCUGGAAAAACAAUUUCUUAUCAAAUAUUCAAAGUCAGUAUCUUCAGUGUUUCCUCCUGUUAUAAUCAGAUUCUCCAGAGAUGCCUGCUCAGACUUGACAUGGUUUGGCUGUGUCCCCACCCAAAUCUCAUCUAAAUUGCAGCUCCCAUAAUUCCCACAUGUUGUGGGAGGAACCCAGUGGGAAAUAACUGAAUGAUGGGGGCAGUUUCCUCCAUACUGUUCUCAUGGUAAUGAAUGGGUCUAAUGAGACCUGAUGGUUUUACAAGGGGAACCCUCUUUCACUUCAUUUUCAUUCCCUCUCUUGCCCACUGCCAUGUAAGAAGUUCCUUUACUCCUCUUUUAUCUUCCAAAAUGAUUGUGAGGACUUCCAAGUCAUAUGAAACUGUGAGCCCAUUAAAACUUUUUAUUUAAAUAAAUUACCCAGUCUUAGGUAUGUGUUUAUCAACAGCAUGAGAAUGGACUAAUACAGGACACUUGCCUUAAAAACGUAAGGCUUGCUGCCAGUGUUAUAUGUUAACUUUCACUAAACCUUUUGUUUUCAGUGUGGGAAAACUUCUCCCAUCUGAUUCUGAUGUCUCUCAGUUCCAAUAUCCCACCUUGUCCCACAUCUACAUAUAAUCUAUUAGUAGGGUGGAGGAAAGGACAUUUGCUUGGCUACUUGGGAUUAGAGAGGUACCUGGGGGCCCAGCUGCUUCCUAAAUUGAAGUUGAACCAACUUUACUAUUCAGUCCCAUAUUUAUCCCUUCUUGAGGUACCUGGUGCUGCAAAGUGUUGAGUCUUUGUGGGGAUUCUGCAGUGUAAAGUAGGUUGCUUCUUGUUUUUCCUCACUACUGGCUUAAAAUUUAACUUUUUUAGGUCUUCCAAAUCAGUUAACACCACCCCACCUGCUUUCCAAAGUUGUGUUGCAUUAUCUCCUCUCUCACUCCCUAUCUUUGGAAUUUCAUGUCCAUAACCUCCAGUGAUCCCUCCCUCCUGGUGUUCACACCUUUUGAAAUGCCCUCCCCUCAACUGUGGACAGGACCUAUAACUUGCUUCUAACCUGUGAAAUACGGCAAAAGUUAUGAGUUGUCACUCCUAAUUAUCUUACAUUAUACAAGACUCUGUCUUAAAAGCAGAC
rnacentral:lncRNA from 1 species